CCGUACGAUGUCGACUUGGAGGUUGUGCCCUUGAGGCGUGGCUUCCGGAGCUAACGCGUUAAGUCGACCGCCUGGGGAGUACGGCCGCAAGGUUAAAACUCAAAUGAAUUGACGGGGGCCCGCACAAGCGGUGGAGCAUGUGGUUUAAUUCGAUGCAACGCGAAGAACCUUACCUGGUCUUGACAUCCACGGAAGUUUUCAGAGAUGAGAAUGUGCCUUCGGGAACCGUGAGACAGGUGCUGCAUGGCUGUCGUCAGCUCGUGUUGUGAAAUGUUGGGUUAAGUCCCGCAACGAGCGCAACCCUUAUCCUUUGUUGCCAGCGGUCCGGCCGGGAACUCAAAGGAGACUGCCAGUGAUAAACUGGAGGAAGGUGGGGAUGACGUCAAGUCAUCAUGGCCCUUACGACCAGGGCUACACACGUGCUACAAUGGCGCAUACAAAGAGAAGCGACCUCGCGAGAGCAAGCGGACCUCAUAAAGUGCGUCGUAGUCCGGAUUGGAGUCUGCAACUCGACUCCAUGAAGUCGGAAUCGCUAGUAAUCGUGGAUCAGAAUGCCACGGUGAAUACGUUCCCGGGCCUUGUACACACCGCCCGUCACACCAUGGGAGUGGGUUGCAAAAGAAGUAGGUAGCUUAACCUUCGGGAGGGCGCUUACCACUUUGUGAUUCAUGACUGGGGUGAAGUCGUAAAAGGGGUUAACAAAUAA
rnacentral:rRNA from 1 species